GCCGAGAUAGCUCAGUUGGUAGAGCACGCGACUGAAAAUCGCGGUGUCCCCAGUCCGAUCCUGGGUCUCGGCACUA
rnacentral:tRNA from 1 species